GAUGAGCAAAAUGAGGCUUUGCACAGCAAUAUCCAUCUUCUUUCUGGUAAUAAUCUUAGGUGAGGUUUGCUGUUCCACCCCAAGGAAGACAGCUAAAGGUGGAAAGAAAUCACGAGCUCGGGCAAAACUAUUUGGACCAUGCAAAGGACGGGCGUCUCUCUACUGUCUGCACGGGGCUUGCCAGCUGCUGCGUAUGAAGAAGACGAAACAGCUGAGAUGCAGGUGUGAAGAUGGCUACGCUGGGGAGCGCUGUGACCGCCGUCUCCUCUACUCGCGAUCCGAUUGGCCGCGCUCGCUGCUCGAGCCGCCUCCCCAUUGGCUCCUCGGCUGACGGGGGACCCCACCCCCCACAACAACCCCUUACUCGUGUGCUCGGACCACGCCCACCCACUUCAACAUUUACAUUAACCACGCCCACCCACCUCCCAAUUUGCAUUAACCACGCCCACCCACCUCGACAUUUGCAUUAACCACGCCCCCGCCUCGUUAUUUGCAUUAACCACGCCCACCCGCCUCGACAUUUGCGUUAACCACGCCCACCCACCUCGACAUGUGCAUUAACCACGCCCCUCCUAAUUUGCAUUAAACACGCCCCCGCCUCAUUAUUUGCAUUAACCACGCCCACCCACCUCGACAUUUGCGUUAACCACGCCCACCCACCUCGACAUGGGCAUUAACCACGCCCCUCCUAAUUUGCAUUAAACACGCCCCCGCCUCGUUAUUUGCAUUAACCACGCCUACCCACCUCGACACUUGUGCUAACCACGCCCACCCACCUCGUCAUUUGCAUUAACCACGCCCACCCACCUCGACACUUGCGUUAACCACGCCCACCCACCUCGUCAUUUGCAUAAACCACGCCUCGCUCGUUUGCAUUAACCACGCCCCGUGGCGUCUUGUGCACCUAGCCUGGCACCACGAGGAGUCUGUGGGGGUGAUGGGGAUACAAAGGCGGCCGUGGUGAAGGAGCCUCUCACUUUGACUGUGCAGGCGACGCAGGGCUGUGAAUGUCAAUCAAAUAAAGUCACUCA